rnacentral:rRNA from 1 species
UACAGAGGUCUCAAGCGUUGUUCGGAUUCAUUGGGCGUAAAGGGUGCGUAGGCGGCGCGGUAAGUCGGAUGUGAAAUCUCGGGGCUUAACUCCGAAACUGCAUUCGAUACUGCCGUGCUUGAGGACUGGGAGAGGAGACGUAGGUAACUUGAUCGGUGUAGCGGUGAAAUGCGCAGAUAUCAGGAGGAACACCAGUGGCGAAGGCGGUUUUCUAGCUUAUACCUGACGCUGAUGCGCGAAAGCAAGGGGAGCAAACAGG